rnacentral:rRNA from 1 species
AUUGAACGCUGGCGGCAGGCCUAACACAUGCAAGUCGAGCGAGCGGCGGACGGGUGAGUAAUGUCUGGGAAACUGCCUGAUGGAGGGGGAUAACUACUGGAAACGGUAGCUAAUCCCGCAUACCCUCCGCUGUGCCCAGAUGGGAUUAGCUAGUAGGUGGGGUAAUGGCUCACCUAGGCGACGCUCCCUAGCUGGUCUGAGAGGAUGACCAGCCAGCCGGGAACUGAGACACGGUCCAGACUCCUACGGGAGGCAGCAGUGGGGAAGAUUGCACAAUUGGCGCAAGCCUGAUGCAGCCAUGCCGCGUGUGUGAAGAAGGCCUUCGGGUUGUAAAGCACUUUCAGCGGGGAGGCGUUACCCGCAGAAGAAGCACCGGCUAACUCCGUGCCAGCAGCCGCGGUAAUAC